UACGAAGGGGGCUAGCGUUGCUCGGAAUCACUGGGCGUAAAGGGCGCGUAUGGGUACGGGCUUGUUGCGUCAGCUGUGAAAAACCCGCAGCUCAACCUGUGGGCUUGCAGCUGAUACGGGCAGGCUUGGAGUUCGGUAGGGGAGACUGGAAUUCCUGGUGUAGCGGUGAAAUGACGCAGAUAUCAGGAGGAACACCGGUGGCGAAGGCGGAUCUCUGGGCCUUACCUGACGCUGAGGCGCGAAAGCGUGGGGAGCAAACAGG
rnacentral:rRNA from 1 species